rnacentral:misc_RNA from 1 species
AGGCAGGUGGCGCGCUGGCCUCAGUUGGGAGCCGCAUGGCCGAACGUUCACAGUAGUACUUCUCGGUGUCUGUGUGCGUGUGUGUCUGUGUAGUAUACAUGCACUACUAGCUUGAUGUGUACCACUGUAUUACCUGUACCCUACUGUAAACUAACCACUCUAGCUCCUUCGUUGGUUACUGAGGUGGCUAAUGCCGUGUGGUAAUCGGUUGUUGAAAGAGAGUUGAACCCGCAGUGCAGUUCUUUCGGGGCGAGUCCAGUUAUGACGUCACAUUGCUUCCCACUCCUCCUCCUGACGUCACACUGCCCACUCAUGACAUCACGGGUAAUACUGACUCGCUAAGCCUCAAUAUAACGACAGGAGUCUCAGAUGGAGGGUGAGAGGCUUAGCGGAGGUCGUGGUAGAAGGUGGGAGAGUGCGACAACGAGGGGGAUGUCCUCUGCUCGGUCUACAGCACCACACAAACACACCCCGACGUACUCACUGCUCGAUCACCCGUGGCAACAACAACGGGAGCAACAGUGACAGCAACAGGACCAACAACAGGGACAGUGGAAGUUAUAACGGUACCAACAGCUGUUAAGGAACCUGUUCAAUUUGACGAACUAUUGUGACGGUGCACGCGACCAAGCGACUACACCCUCAUCCCUAACCAGUGAACCAGUGACUACGCUCUCGCCUAUUCUCCACCGGCCACCACUCAUGC